CCUACGGGAGGCAGCAGUGGGGGAUAUUGCACAAUGGGGGGAACCCUGAUGCAGCGACGCCGCGUGGGUGAAGAAGCGCCUCGGCGCGUAAAGCCCUGUCAGCAGGGAAGAAAAUGACGGUACCUGACGAAGAAGCCCCGGCUAACUACGUGCCAGCAACCGCGGUAAUACGUAGGGGGCAAGCGUUAUCCGGAUUUACUGGGCGUAAGGCGCUCGUAGGCGGUAUGUCAAGUCAGGGGUGAAGUCCCCGCGCUCAACGUGGGAACUGCCUUUGAAACUGGCAAACUGGAGUGUGGGAGAGGAUAGUGGAAUUCCAGGUGUAGGAGUGAAAGCCGUAGAUAGCAGGAGGAACAUCAGUGGCGAAGGCGACUAUCUGGCACAUAACUGACGCUGAGGAGCGAAAGCGUGGGUAGCAAACAGGAUUAGAUACCCGGGUAGUC
rnacentral:rRNA from 1 species